rnacentral:tRNA from 1 species
CGCGGAGUGGAGCAGUUGGCGGCUCGUCGGGCUCAUAACCCGAAGGUCGUAGGUUCAAGUCCUGCCUCCGCAACCA